GAGCACGCCUGCGCACUGCGCCUCUGAAGCCGCAGCGGUGCCCUCACUUCAAAGGCUGCCCGCUCUUCCCUGCUUUCCGUUGCGACCCGUCCGGACCUAGGUUGGCAAGGCUGGCGGCGCGUUGUUGGAAUUAGGGAUCCUGGGGAUGUGUGGUGGACUGCGGACCUGAGACUGAUUGACAGUAGGACUCCCAAGCGAUCAAUGCAAAGGCCUUAGGGGAUGCCCUGCUAGGCUUGUCCCAGGUGAUCUUCCCAGACUGCCCUGAUGCUACCUGACUCCUGGCUGCCUCUUGCGGGACCCAUCUUCACCUACCACCCGGUUUCUGGUGUUUCCACCAGCCUGCUUCUGUCCCUGGGGAUCUGGGGUUCAGAGAUUGUCCAGGAGAGGAGUGACAAGCGAAUUCUAAUGCCACACUAUUGUUUAAUGCUCCUGACUUGGAACAAGAAAGGCUGCUGAUACUUGUGUUCUUGCUUAGAACCCAACUUGUUUAGGUGUCACAUAAAUGCGGAGGAAAAGACACACAGUCACACACCAAAAAAUGGCUGCACAGUGAAUCUAUGAAAUUGCUACAUAGCACUUGGUUGAUAUUUAAUACCAAAAGUCUCCAUACCCUGUAAAAAGGACAGUCAUUUAAGUUCUUGACUGUAUAAAAUAAAUAUGGAAAUCAUAAUCAUUCAUGACUAUGUAUA
rnacentral:lncRNA from 1 species